UACGUAGGGGGCUAGCGUUGUCCGGAUUUAUUGGGCGUAAAGAGCGUGUAGGCGGCCAGGUAGGUCUGCUGUGAAAACUCGAGGCUCAACCUCGAGACGUCGGCGGAAACCAUCUGGCUAGAGUCCGGAAGAGGAGAGUGGAAUUCCUGGUGUAGCGGUGAAAUGCGCAGAUAUCAGGAAGAACACCGGUGGCGAAGGCGGCCUGCUGGGCAGUAGCUGACACUGAGGCGCGACAGCGUGGGGAGCAAACAGG
rnacentral:rRNA from 1 species